AUUUAGAAAUAUAUAUAUAUAGUAAAUAAUUAACCUGAAGAUAAACGAUGCUGACUGACCAAAGCCUGUGACCAAACUGACACCAGUCCUGGAAAGUUGUUAUCUAUAUAGGAACAUGUGUUAAUCAUUUAGAAUAGUUAUUUAGAAAUGUCAUUGGUCAUACUAAUGUUUAAUUUGCUGAUAUACCAUGAAAACAUAACAGAAAAGAUCCCA
rnacentral:lncRNA from 1 species